rnacentral:siRNA from 1 species
CUGGAUAAGCUUGAGGAUAGUGAC